CUUCCAUCCACCGACUGUUCGACGAUAUUCCUUCUUUUCUAACCUUCCACUCCUCUUCUCAUCCACUGUCAGAUCUUUUCUCACUCUCACUCUCAUACUCAAAUUCAUACUCAUUUGCAUUGCCUAAUCAAAUACCCAUUUCCCGAAAAUGGAUAGAGAUUCAUCUGACGAGGAAGACGAUCGCCAGACUCUAAUUGAGCAAAACGAUAGGAAGCCAAAUCACCACCACCACCACCAACCAGUCCCCACUUCCUCUCCUCAGCGGCGGUCCUCCUCCACCUUCCACAUUGAGGAUCUCGAGUCUCUUGGUGGUUCAAUACGCCGUCGUUUCUUUAGUAACUUCAAUAAGAGGUACUACUACUAUUUGUUGGCUAUUUUUCUGCCUCUCUUAAUCGUCGUCGUCAUUUUCUCCGCCGAUAUAAGGAAUAUGUUCUCCGCCAAUCUAUCUGCUCUCAGGCUUGAUUCCGUUUCAGACCGGAUGAGAGAGGCUGAGUUACAAGCGCUUUACUUGCUGGGUCAGCAGCAAUUUUCUCUAAUCUCUCUCUUGAACCAAUCAUUUCCCUUUCACAAUAAUAACAACAAUACGCUUUUGAAUUCCAAUUCCAAUUCCAACUCUAGUGUUAAUUCAAAUGCCACUUUUGUGUCCACUAACUUAGAGGAACAAGGCUUGAGAUUCAAGAUAGAGGAUUUGAGAUCUGCCCUUCUCAAGCAGAUUUCGCUAAAUAAACAAAUUCAACAGGUUCUAUUAUCCCCUCACAAGUCUGCGAAUGUGAAUGUAUCUGCUUCAGAUGUCGAUAACGCUGCUGGGCCAUUUGUGGGUUCUGCAUUUGGUUACGAUGGGUGUAGGAAGAUGGAGUCAAGGUUCUCGGAAAGGAAGACCAUAGACUGGAAACCCAGAUCAGACAAGUUCUUGUUUGCCAUAUGCUUAUCUGGGCAGAUGAGUAACCAUUUGAUUUGCUUGGAGAAGCAUAUGUUUUUCGCGGCUUUGUUGAAUCGGGUUUUGGUUAUGCCAAGUUCUAAAUUUGAUUAUCAAUAUAGUAGGGUGUUAGAUAUUGAACAUAUAAAUCAAUGUUUGGGAAGGCAGGUGGUCGUCUCAUUUGAAGAAUUUGCACAAAUGAGGAAGAAUCAUUUGCAUAUUGAUCGGUUUAUAUGCUACUUCUCCUCACCUGCUCCGUGCUAUGUGGAUGAAGAACAUGUUAAGAAGUUGAAGGGGUUAGGGAUUUCAAUGGGGAAGCUUGAGUCGCCUUGGAAGGAGGAUGUUAAGAAACCAAGUAAGAAAACGGUUCAGGAUGUGCAGGCCAAGUUUUCUUCCAAUGAUGAUGUUAUUGCUAUUGGAGAUGUGUAUUUUGCUGAUGUAGAGAAGGAGUGGGUGUUGCAGCCUGGUGGUCCUCUUGCACACAAAUGCAAGACAUUGAUCGAACCAAGUAGGCUUAUAAUACUUACUGCCCAGCGAUUUAUUCAAACUUUCUUGGGGAAGAACUUCAUUGCCCUCCAUUUCCGGCGGCAUGGCUUCUUGAAGUUCUGGUAUCCUUUUCUUUUUCUUGCUUCUGUCGUCUUUUUGUCUUUAAAAUGUUUAUUGCUCUAGGUGCUUAAAGCUAAUUGGUUUCUGGGCCUGCUAGGCAUGUAGGAGUGACCUUUUUUCUUUGGAGCAUGUGCUGCUUGUGUGUAUCUGUGUAGAUUACUGAGACUACUUGGACACUAAUACGCCAUGAUGCCUCUAACAGACGAACACUUUUUUGAUGUUUUGCCAGUAAUGUUAAAACGCCAAGUUGCUUUUACCCCAUACCCCAAGCUGCAGAUUGCAUAGCGCGGGUGGUUGAAAGGACCAAUGCACCAGUCAUAUAUCUUUCCACUGAUGCGGCAGAAAGUGAAACUGAUUUGUUGCAGUCACUAAUUGUGCUGAAUGGGAAAGCUGUACCCCUUGUCAAACGGCCAUCUCAUACUUCAGUGGAGAAGUGGGAUGCUUUGUUAUCAAGACAUCGCAUUGAGGACGAUUCUCAGGUGGAAGCCAUGCUUGAUAAGACAAUCUGUGCUAUGUCUAGUGUUUUCAUAGGGGCCUCAGGGUCCACAUUCACUGAGGACAUUUUGCGGUUGCGAAAGGAUUGGGAAACAGCAUCUUUAUGUGAUGAGUACCUUUGCCAAGGUGAAUUGCCAAACUUCAUUGCAGAAGAUGAAUGAAGAUGAUGAAAAUUGAGUUACUGUUUUCUGCUAUGGAUUGUCAUUCCUUGUGAAGACGCUUUGCAUGAAUUCAAUCAUCUGCAAUACCGGAAUUCAUUAUUCCUGGAUCGAUGCCCGUAUGGCUAGCGAUGCGGCCUUGUAUGUUAGUGUAUGAUAUUAUAGUAGCAUUGCGUUUUGCACAUAAGUUUCUCUUUCAUUGUUUCGUGGUUGAGAAUUAUUUUUGUAAUAAAGUCUAAAAUAAAUACAUUAGUUGAAGAAACUGGUCUCCCGCCGUUGCUAUUGACGACUUCUAAUAAUCAUUCUUUAUAUUUGCUCAGCUCAAAAACCAUUAAAGUUUGGGGCAAAUCAUUUGUAGAGUGGUAUGUUCAUUCACUAACCAUUUUGUCUUUGGAGAUUUAUUGUUGUAAAGAAGCCAUAUGAUAGUUGAAGUUGAGCAUUUGUUUUCUGCUAAAGAGAUACAUGCAGGGUCAAG
rnacentral:misc_RNA from 1 species